rnacentral:rRNA from 1 species
CCUACGGGUGGCAGCAGUGAGGAAUAUUGGUCAAUGGACGAGAGUCUGAACCAGCCAAGUAGCGUGAAGGAUGACUGCCCUAUGGUUUGUACACUUCUUUUAUAUGGGAAUAAAAUGUUCCACGUGUGGGAUUUUGUCUGUACCAUAUUAAUAAGGAUCGGCGAACUCCGUGCCAGCAGCCGCGGUAAUACGGAGGAUCCGAGCGUUUUCCGGAUUUAUUGGGGUUAAAGGGAGCGUAGGUGGAUUGUUAAGGCAGUUGUGAAAGUUUGCGGCUCAACCGGAAAAUUGCAGUUGAAACUGGCAGUCUGGAGUACAGUAGAGGUGGGCGGAAUUCGUGGUGUAGCGGUGAAAUGCUUAGAUAUCACGAAGAACUCCGAUUGCGAAGGCAGCUCACUGGACUGCAACUGACACUGAGGCUCGAAAGUGUGGGUAUCAAACAGGAUUAGAUACCCCAGUAGUC